rnacentral:misc_RNA from 1 species
AAGUCGUAACAAGGUUUCCGUAGGUGAACCUGCGGAAGGAUCAUUAUUGAAAAGGGAACCCUUCGGGGUUCAACCUUCAACCCUGUGUUUAAUUACCUGUUUCUUUGGCGGGUUCGCCCGUCAGAAAAUUUCUCAAACCCACUAUAAAUGUGCCAUCUGAAUUAAAAAUAAAUAAAUCAAAACUUUCAACAACGGAUCUCUUGGUUCUG